CAGAGAAUAGUUUAGUUUAGAACUCUGGCUUUGGGGGCCAGGGGCGCGGGUUAAAGCCCCCCUUCUCUGA
rnacentral:tRNA from 1 species